CAGCUGCACAACUUGAUUGCCUUACAAAUGACCUGCUUCCAGGAUGCGGAAAUUCCUAAUUUCUUCUGUGACCCUUCUCAACUCCCCCAUCUUGCAUGUUGUGACACCUUCACCAAUAACAUAAUCAUGUAUUUCCCUGCUGUCAUAUUUGGUUUUCUUCCCAUCUCUGGGACCCUUUUCUCUUACUAUAAAAUUGUUUCCUCCAUUCUGAGUGUUUCAUCAUCACGUGGGCAGUAUAAGGCCUUCUCCACCUGUGGGUCUCACCUGUCAGUUGUUUGCUGAUUUUACGGAACGGGCGUUGGAGGGUACUUCAGUUCAGAUGUGUCAUCUUCCCCGAGAAAGGCUGCAGUGGCCUCAGUGAUGUACACGGUGAUCACCCCAUGCUGAACCCCUUCAUCUACAGCCUGAGAAACAGGCAUAUUAAAAGUGUCCUGCGGCGGCCGCACAG
rnacentral:lncRNA from 1 species